AUGGACAGUCUGGGGACCAUCAAGGUAGCGAAGACAGGUGAGCUAUGAAACUAUGACGAGUACGAGUCUAUAUUAUUGAAGAAUGGCUGGGACCCUGGGGAAGAGGGACUGGACAUGACUCACCAGAAUCUCCUUCUGCUGAUAGACUGUCCCCUGAACUGAACUGAACUACUUUGGUUUAUACACACACACCAAGAAUGUGCUGGCUGAAGUGAACCCCCAGACUUGAAUUCCAGGAAACUUUCACCACAUUUGUGAACUCAUGGUUCAGCUCUUAACAAAAACUAAGUGUCCAAACAGCUGAUGGCCUCAAGAAUCCAGUGUGAGAACACAUCCAAUUUGAAUGUAUGAAAAUUGUCAUAUCUUUCUCCAUCCCAGUGAUGUGUGAGACUUGGUGGCCAGAAAUGACCCCAUUGUUUUUGUGAUGGGUGCAAAUACCCAAGUCAGUGUGCACUAUUCGCAGAAUAUGGUGUCCAUCACCAAAAAAUAACCUAUCUGCUGCCAUCAAGUGUGCAAAACUGACCAGAAUGCUUCAAGUAUGUGUAGUAGUUUAACAAAAGACCCUUCUUCGAAAACACACACUAUUCACAUAGCAUAAUUUGAACCACUUAGUAAGUCACUGUUCGGGAAUGCCAUUCUUACAAUAAGACUGUGCAGUUUUGGGAAAGCAAGGACAUACAUAUCCCAUUUGAUUACCCUAUAAAUGAAGUUCGAACAAAAAUUUCUUCAACUUGAAAAUCAAUGGAAUAAUAAACCCAUUUUCUCUGAAAAUGAAUAUAUUCAUUCUAUAUCUACAGCAUCUUCAAUGAACCUGCAACCUAAAAAUGAAAAUCAAUACUGCCUCAGAUACUAAUACCCUAAUUGAUACUAAAAAAAAAAAAAAAACACCUGAUCAUAGGUUGUAAUAGACAAAACUGCUACAAACCUACAUAGGAUAAAAGGUAUUAAAGUGGACGAAAACACAGAAAUAAGAUCUUAAAACUAUUACCAUAUACACCUAGCUAUUUCUUCCCGAAAAAAAACAAAACAAAAAAAAACUUGCAAGCUUCAAAAUGCCUACAUUUCACAUCCUCCAGGCUGAACAUAAAAUAUUUCACCACUGCAGAAAAAUAUAUCCUUUACCAAGCUACCUUCACCGUCUUUCCCCAAAACAACAUGUCUGGGACUCUAUUUCUCCCGAUAUCAAUCUCUCAAGGUACCCAGGUUACACACCAGAACUCUACACCGCGGAGCACUUAGAGCAUAGGAGGGAGGGCCCAUCUCCCGCCCCGCCUGCGACUCCCACAGCACUCCACCCGGGGAAGCCGAAGCGCGGGGCUCACGGGAUCCCCAACGAGUUCCGCUUGAUGGCAGUAUUGCUCCACGUACACCAACCGGCCCUUCCCCCAGGGCCUCUCCCUCCGCCCCUCGCCGAAGAAAAAAGGCCAAGUCCUGGCCACGGGCUCCACCAUGGCGGCUCCCACGUCCCGUCCCGCCCCGCAGCUCUGCUCUCGUGGGGGAGCCCACUCCCGCUUCUGAGGCUGCCUGGCUCGGAGCCUCGUCCCCUGUGGCUCCACGUAGCCUGCCGAAAAGCAAGGGCGAGGCCCGGCAGGUUCAGCGAGCCGCCCGGCAGUGGCCAUAAGCCCCUCCGGGCCUCCAUCUUUACCCGCGCAGCUCUGCAGGACGCCUCAGGAGACACACUGGUCCGCUCGAGGGCCCAGAGCCCCAGCCACCCCUAGCCAGUCGGUGCCCGAUCCUCCGUCCGGACUCCCCCAGAGGCCAGCGGGACCCUGAGGCCUGCAGCGGCCAGACACAAAGGUCGGCGGAGGCGGUAACACGGCCACCGGCCGUGGGGUCGGCAGUGAGGUCCGCCUCCAACGGCCCGAGGACGGAGGGGUCCCGAGCACCGGGCCCACGGCCCGCGGCCUCUCCUCACGGCCGUCCCGCCCCUCCGCCCACAAACGGGAUUCCGACGUGGACCCUGGCCCACACGGGUCAGUGCGGAGGGCAGCCGGCAGCCGCACCAGGGUCGCCAAAGUGCCCCGGGCCUGGCCCAGGCUGCGUCUCGGGACCGCUCCCACGGGAGGGGGCAGGCCAGGGACGGGCCAGCCCCACGUGGGCCCCUGCUC